CUCAUUAGGGCAAAAGAUCCAUUCUUUUAUUUUUCUCUCUCUUCCUUUCUUUCUCUCUCGCGCCGCUUCUCUCUCUCUUGUUUGGCAGUCCUUCUCUCUCUCUUGUUUGGCCUUCAACGCUAUCAGUGAAAAUGACGAGGUCGUCAUCAACGAGGUGGUCAUAUAACUCGUUCAAAUCUAAAAGAGGUCGACGAUGUCGUCACACUUUGAGGGGCUGUUGUGCUUUGGAUGUAUCAAACGUGCUUGUUAGGCAAAAGAAAACUCCAGGGAGCAAGCAAUUAAUGAUCUGCAGAUGACAUCCGAUGGCAGCAGUGAUCGGCCCCGUCCUGAUAAGAAUUUGAAGUCAAUUGCUAAAAAGAAAUCUAGGAUGCUUAUAAAUCCUGAUGAUAUUCCUGGUCGACUUUCUUCAUAGCCACAAAUGCACACGUCUUCAUCAGAGAGGUCUUAUGUCUCAUUUGGCACUAGUAAUCCUGUAGAUUAUCAUGGUCCUAGAAAGUAGGGACAGGUGUGCACUUCUUAUGCUCCACAUACUUUCAGGCCUCCUACAAAUAUAUAGGGACUUUGAGAUUAUCAUCUGGUGCUCCAUACCCUCGCGAUUCAUCCCCCCACCUCUCAGGAUUGUGGCUGAGAGACAACUUUGACUCUGAUGUACAAACAUCUACCCCCAGUUAACGAACCUUGGGCUGCAUUUGGAUCUGCACCUCCACCUAUACCUAUAGUAGAUGAUAUGAUGCACAUUUGAUUGUUCUCAUUCCUGGAGAUAAGGACAGGCUUGGUAGUCUUUAUCGAUCCAGAUAUAUCUACGUAAGUUUAUUUUUUAAUUCAUAAGUUUAUUUUUUAUUACUAAAAUAUUCAUGCUUACAUAUGUAUUUUGUUACUUCAGUACUGUCACGUGAAAUGAGGUACAACUUUGCAGUAAGUGCUGUCUAGGGAUUUUUUUAAUGUACUAGAUCGUUUUUGUCGACAGUUAAAUUAAAGGAGGAUUUGUUCACUAGAUAACAACAACGGCAACAACAUAAGUGUUAAGUGCUUUACAUAUUUAUUUUGUUCUUUUACAUGUGGCAUCCCGUAUCUAAAGAAGUUAAUAAGGUAGUAAGGGAGCGCGUUAGGAGGCUUUUUUCACAACCUUGGCACAGUUGGUCGGAGAUUCCAGAAGACCAUAGACAAGCAAUGUUUGAAGAGUUCAAGAGAAAUGCUGGUGCAAAGCUACGCAAUUGGCUUGAACGUGUUAGACGUAUAGGAAAUAUUGCACAGUGGCUUCUCAAAACCGUAUAAGAUAAUUUGUGUAUUUAUUGGGAAUCUCCUGAAUAUAAGGCACUAUCUGAGAAAGUAAGAAAGCUAGUUCCAGUUUAAAAGGUGGCUCAUUGCACACCAGAGGUGUAAAGAGUGUCGGGGUCAUAGUUCGAGAAAUGGAUAAGGACUUGGGUCGUGAACCGACUCGACUUGAGGUCUUUAGAUGAAUACAUCUGCUGAAAAAGACGAAUGAGUUGGACCCGGAUAUGUGGGUUGAUCCCAGGGAUGAAAAUGCCAAUUUAAGUCUUAUAUUUAUACUUUACUCUGUUAUACCUUUAUAUUUAAUUAGCUAUAUCAUCCUCCUAUUGGCUACCUUUUGUUAUCGACAAACAAGUAACCCGUAUGGUUCUUAAGGUUCCAAGGAUUUGGUUUUUGGUUA